rnacentral:lncRNA from 1 species
UUGAUGGAGACAAAUCCCCAUAGCUAACCUCAUAGCUUUGUUGCUUUAAGCACUUGCACUGCACCAGAUUUUAAACCAGAAUUGUACCUGCACUGCACCAGAUUUUAAACCAGAAAAAACAGCAGUAUUGCAUAGCAUAUGAAUAGGUUUAAAAGUGCAGAAUUAACUCCCUGUUACAGCUAGCUUCACCUAGUAUGGUGAGCUAUUUUUCUCCCCCUUUGGAUUCA